GUAGUUGUGGCCGAGUGGUUAAAGCGAUGGACUUGAAAUCCGUUGUGGUUUCCCCGCGCAGGUUCGAAUCCUGCCGUCUACG
rnacentral:tRNA from 1 species